rnacentral:lncRNA from 1 species
CUUGUGGUAUUUUGAUAAAAUUUCUAUAUCCUAUUGGUUAGUUAAAAACUUAAGACAUUAUAAUUAUGUUUACUAAUAGCCAAAUUUUAUAUACCUCAAAUCAUAUUUGUCUUUAAUUUGUGGAGGUUCCAACCAGAAAUUUAAAGAAAAUAGCAACUAUAUACAUAAGACUUGCAUUAAAAAAAAGACCUGGUUACAUAUAUGUACUUUCAACAUGCUACAAACAGACACGCACACAAAUGUAACAUUAUAUUACAACCUAACUCUCAAAGAGAGUAAGUUUGAGCCGGUCUGCACUCACUCACUCAUACCAUACUUAAUAAACAAAGAUUGCAACCCAACUCCGACAACUUUUCCCGUAAUUCUAACUUCAUCCCUUAACAACAAAACCUGGAACAGUGAUCUUAUUUAUCGCCUUUAGUUUUGGUUAUGGUUUAAGCAAGAGACGAGUAACGGAAACGUUGAGCUGACUCUAUAGUUGCGGGCAAAACUGCUUGUUUUACAAGGACAGAGUUCUUUGGAUAUUGAUAGACCAAAAAAGUUGCGUUUGUAGAAGAUGUUAUGGACUCUCUAACGGUAUGGACUUGUGGGCCGUGGUAGACAUAUGAACUAUUAUGGAUAUUGGCAGAACAAGAGAGAUUAGGGUUUGAAGUGGAAGUGUUUGUGUUGAGAUUUUCCUUUCGAGAAAAUCCCAUGGUGCGUAGUAGAAAGAGAUGAUGAAAGAAGAGAGAUGAAGAAUGUGUUGAGUUUGUUGUCUUGGGUGGUUAGAUAGUAACAAACUCGGUGGCUUUUAUAGAGAGAGCCCAGAGGGUAAAGUUGUAUACGUGGAGGUCACAUUUAACAGACAAAUAUCAUAAUUUUAUUUAUUUCCUUGGUAAGUACUUUGUCAUAAAUUUCCACUAUUAGUGUUCAC